CGAGGACGAGAGUGAAAGAAGGAGCGAGAGAAUAAGACAUGGAGAUACAGAAAGAUUGAGAGCGAUGUGGACUACUGCAUUGCACAACACGACAGGGUGUAGGGUGCUGGCAAAUGGGGGGGUGGCGGGGUGUAAGGCAGGAGGACGGAGCCUUUGGAUUAAUGCUGGUGUCCUCUCCCCUUGUUCUACAUCUCCAUUGUGUAUGGACAAGACCCCGCUCGGCACGUGUAAUUACCACUGACGGUGUUACUCUUUCCAGAGACAAGUUCAAGCACGGCCAGGGUGAUUAGUAUGUGUUGUAUCUUGGGGGAACUUGUAAAUACAAAAAAAGCCCCAAGGGCUGUGGCCCCAAGAUGGUAAACAGACUGUAAGUGCCAUCUUCCUCUGUCUGCUCAUAUCCUAAUGGAGGAUACACUUAUUUGAUGUCAGAUGGGAAACAUUAAAAGAUUUCCGGAUGACAGCAGUGAGGCUGGGAUUGUUAUUAUUUUGGGGCAUUUGUAGCUUUUUGAACAGGACAUUUCUGUUUUUAAACAAAGGAGAAUCAAACCCACAUUUGGAAUGCUCAAGUCCAAGGGAAAAGGAAAUGGAAAAGCUCUGGACAAAAAACCCAAACACCCAAGAGGCUCAACCAACACCCCCCUGGCCUCAUCUGGCCUGCAGCCGGCCAACCGCUGUUCCAGUCCUGAGGAGCCUGACCAGAGAGCGUCUGCGGGCCCGCCAGAUGAUGAGGACGUCCCAGAUGAUGAGGACCUCUGAGAAGAACGCCAUCCAGCCCAUCCUGCUGGGGAAUAAACUCACGGCAACGAAGGUAGUCGCCCCGCUGGGGUGCUGGAUCUCAAAUGACCUGCCUGGACUUCUAUUUAAACCUGCUGUGGGUCCGCCGUGGGCCUGUAUACCACUGUAGUACUGCAGGGGACGGCCCUAUGUCCGUUCCUCUUCCCCCUGUAAACCUUGGCCUCUGUCCACCAUACACUAUCCGCUUGGACAACAAGCUUGACUGGACAGUGUUCUCCAUGUCAGUCUACAUGUAGGGGCAGACUCUACCUCCUGAGGAAGUGAGCUGCCGACAUUAGAAGACCGAUGGGAGCAUGGUGCGGAUGCUCUGUGAGUCUCUUCUAGGCUUGGGUGAAUCUGGAACAGCAGCAUGACUAAACAGCUUGUUAAGUCCAACACUCUCCUGACAAUGAUCAGGAUGGCCGGCGUGUUCUGGGGUAGAACUGGACCCCCUGUAGCCGUCAGAGAAAAGAGACUGUGCAAAACACCUCUCUACCCUUGAUAAUGACUCCGGACUGCAGUCUGAACAGAGAAGUCUGUUCAGCAGUUGACGCCUGGCAUUGAGGAGGUCCACCGGGUGGUUCGGGAAAACCUUAAUUCCUGUGGACAGAGAAGUCUUUAACUCCUCUCACCACCGCCAGGUCACUCUAUACUGCACUGUCGUGGAAUUCAGUCAAUUUGAACAUUUUAGGAUUUAUCGUAUCAAGAUGAUCUGUGCUACAUACCUGUGACAAUUUAUUUAAUUUCAGUUACAUAGCUACUUCAUUUUAUGUACAAACAUUCAGCUGUUAUAAAUGUCAUCAUAUUUGAUCCAUAAUUAGAAUAUGUAUAUUUAUGGAGUGUUUUGUGUUUGUAUUUAUUUUUGAUGUUUGUUCUAUUUGCAUUGAAGUUUCUGGCUUGUGAUUAGAGACUGUAACAAAAUAAAUUCUUCCGGGAUCAAUAAAGUAAUCUGUGCCUAUAUCUGUUAACAA
ensembl:lncRNA